GUUUAACAGUGUCGGUGGUGUGAUCGGAGCAGGAUUUUUAGUGAAAUAUCUGAUGUGAGGGGGGUGUGUUUUUUAAUUUUUCGAUUUAUUUGGAUGUGUUCGUAACGUGGAAAUGUUAGAAAUGUAGGAUAUCGUUUGGAGUUCUCUUGGGAUUAACGUUUUUGGUACCACUUCAUCAACUUGAUGAUGUCUAGGAAAAAGAAAGAGCCUCUGAACUUCCUUGGUCUGUAUGCGGUACCCCUGAUCCCAGCCAACAGCGAAGAAGAAAUGCAACCCUCCACUGUCAUACCAGCGUCCAACUCCUCAAGUCGAACUGUACCACUUUCUCGCAAUGGUUCGAUAGGAAGUGGGUAGGAGGAAAUUUUUUCAGAGGGCAAGGAAAGAAGGAAAGAACCUACGUCAAAAGCAUCAGGCCUUUGAAGCUGAAACUGACCAACUGGCAAGGAAGACCAUGAAGAAAUGGAACCGGAAUUCGUCAUGUCAUUGCCAGAACAGUCAACAUUCCAGGAUGUACACAGCCAAAUGGUCCUCCCAGCCCUGUCUUAUGAACGAGCUGUCAAAUAUUUUGAUAUUGAUGACAAGAGUUUUGAUGAAAAGUUCUAGGAAUUGUACAAGCAAAGGUUUAUCAGAUACCUAAGUAUCAUUGGAUCAAGAUCUCACCUACUUCACAGGAUGUGUUAGGGCGGAAAUGAAGAGAUCGGUAUCGUACACUGUUGACUUCAGUUUGGAUAAGACUGGUGUUAUCCAAGAUUCUCAAUAUAAAUGUGGUGCAGGCCAGGGCCCUACUGCACAUUGCAAACAUGUUGGCUGUCUCAUGUAUGGUGUCUAUACCUUUUCUAAAUCUGGAGAAACCAUCACAGAACAAACAUGCACUCAAAUAAGUACUAUCUGCAUUUAAAAAAUACAUAUUAAAUGACAAUGACUUGUUGCAGUCUACAAAAAUGCUUGUUUUAAAUUGGUUUACUUACUAAUAAGGUUUAUUUGUUCAUUUCAACCUUCAAUACAUUACCAUAGUAUUUACCAUAAUUUUUCAGGUUCUACAAAUAUUUCAUCGUGCAAAGCCACACAGGGUUCACAACUAACAUCAACUGGUCUGCAGGCAACGAGAAAGCAUCAACUCGAGUACGAUCCAAAGCCAACUAAAUUUAGGAAAGAUCCUGAUUAUCCAGCCAAUUUUUGCAAUGGUAUUCUGAAUUUUCAGCUUAGACUAUGUUAUGCACCGGUUUCAUCACUUGUCAAAUAAAAGUCUGAUUUUCAGUCUUCAUCUCUGUUCUAACUGUCUGAAGAUCUGGUGAUGGUGACUUUCAUCAUAUGCAUUUGUGUUGUAAAUACAGUGUCAUUUAAGAAAUUUAAGAACGUGAUUUCAGUGUUUAUAUCCAAUUCCAAGCUCAGCACAUUGAUGAGGGGAAAAUGGCAAUGCUUCAACUCUACCAACCAGCAAAUCCCUACGGCACCAGUUUGGACCAUGACUAUGGUAAAUCGGACGAAGAGCACUUCCUAAAGUAUGCUCACGUAACAAAGCACAAAAUGUUUUUAGUACUACUACUGCUACUAUUACUACUACAAUAAACUCUGAAAUUCGAGGAAAAAUUUGGUGAAACUAGAGAAUGUGGGUUGUUUGUCUCUCUCUCACAUCCUUGCAUGUGCGCUUCACCUGACAGACUAUGCAAGGACUGCUGACCGGGGCACAGUGAA